AUUGAACGCUGGCGGCAUGCCUUACACAUGCAAGUCGAACGGCAGCACGGGAGCAAUCCUGGUGGCGAGUGGCGAACGGGUGAGUAAUAUAUCGGAACGUGCCCAGUAGUGGGGGAUAACUGCUCGAAAGAGCAGCUAAUACCGCAUACGACCUGAGGGUGAAAGGGGGGGAUCGCAAGACCUCUCGCUAUUGGAGUGGCCGAUAUCAGAUUAGCUAGUUGGUGGGGUAAAGGCCUACCAAGGCAACGAUCUGUAGUUGGUCUGAGAGGACGACCAGCCACACUGGGACUGAGACACGGCCCAGACUCCUACGGGAGGCAGCAGUGGGGAAUUUUGGACAAUGGGCGCAAGCCUGAUCCAGCAAUGCCGCGUGCAGGAAGAAGGCCUUCGGGUUGUAAACUGCUUUUGUCAGGGAAGAAAUCCUCUAGGUUAAUACCCUUGGGGGGAUGACGGUACCUGAAGAGUAAGCACCGGCUAACUACGUGCCAGCAGCCGCCGCGGUAA
rnacentral:rRNA from 1 species